GCCUGGGUGGCUCAGUCUGUUGGGCAUCUGACUUCGGCUCAGGUCAUGAUCUCUCUCAUCUUGUGGGUUCAAGCCCCACAUGGGGCU
rnacentral:tRNA from 1 species